UGACCAUAAAUAAUACAACAGUCUCUUCUUGGCUGCAGGAUCGGCAGAAGAGGGCCGACCGCGAUUCUCUGCUUCAAGGGGUGGAGCUUCCUCAGCAGGUCCACGUGGCCGAGGAAUCCCUCCUGGAGGCCCUGGACCUACCAUCUGAGCCUGUUCCACAUGGGCAUGCAGAUCUGGAGUUCGAGGAACCUGACAACCGUGAGGGUGAGGCGGUGAUUCGGCGACGCCGACGCAAAACUUAGGUUUCCAGCGAAGACGCUGGAGGAGAUGAUGCUUGGACUGUUCCUUUCCCCUCUUCAUCUGACCUAGCCUAUUGUGAGCAGCGUCAACACCCAGCUCCUGUGUCUCAAUCACAGAGCUGGUACCCAUACCAACCACCUUCAGCUCCAGCGUCUCAAUCUCGUGGCUGGUCCCCAUACCAGCUGCCUCCAACACCGGAGUCUCAGUAUCAGGCCUGGGCCUCUUACCAACGGCCUCCAGCCUCUCACUCUCAGGGCUGGUCGGGGCCCUCAUACCAGCCGCCGCCACCACCACCAGCAGCCCACUUUCAGAGCUGGUCCUCAAAACUGCCGCCACCACCACCUCCAGCAGCUCACUCUCAGGGCUCUUACCAGCUGCCACCAGUGCCAGAUUCUCCACCUCAGGACGGACCUUCUAACCAGCCAGAUCCAGCGUCUCACAAUCGCUACCGGGAAUGGAGGUUACAAAAGGCAGCCUUUGAGGAUCAGGAGCGAGCGAUGAGGGGUGAGCCCCCGAAGAAGCGUCAAAGUAAGGAAAGCUACCACUACCAAUGCAAAAUGUGUGGUAAGGCGAAAAGCAAACUUAUUGGCCACACACAGCUACGGGGGGAAAUGGUACUGUCCAGCAUCUGGAAAGACCAUUGCAGAGUGGAAAAGCUCCUUGUAAAAAUGUAAGCAAUGUGUACAUUUGUUUCUAAGAUAUUUCUAUUGGUGUUAAAUCAUUUGUUUUAAGUGUUAAAUCAUUUGUACAAAAAAGUUCAAAC
ensembl:lncRNA